rnacentral:tRNA from 1 species
CCCCUGGUGGCCCAGUGGCUAAGACUCUGUGCUCCUAAUGCAAGGGCCCAGGUUCAAUCCCUGGUCAGGGUA